AUACGUAGGGGGCGAGCGUUGUCCGGAAUGAUUGGGCGUAAAGGGCGCGUAGGCGGCGCGGUAAGUCUGGAGUGAAAGCCCUGCUUUCAAGGUGGGAAUUGCUUUGGAUACUGCCGCGCUUGAGUGCAGGAGAGGUUAUCGGAAUUCCCGGUGUAGCGGUGAAAUGCGUAGAGAUCGGGAGGAACACCAGUGGCGAAGGCGGGUAACUGGACUGCAACUGACGCUGAGGCGCGAAAGUGUGGGGAGCAAACAGGAUUAGAUACCCUGGUAGUCCACACUGUAAACGAUGAAUGCUAGGUGUAAGAGGUAUCGACCCCUUUUGUGCCGGAGUCAACACAAUAAGCAUUCCGCCUGGGGAGUACGGCCGCAAGGUUGAAACUCAAAUGAAUUGACGGGG
rnacentral:rRNA from 1 species